rnacentral:lncRNA from 1 species
AAGGGGUGUCUACUACCUCGAAGAAGAUUGUGUGUGUAUGUGUGGAUCAGAACUCAACUGAACUUGAAAUGCCAGGCCUGCUGUUUCACACGCUCUGGACAUCAUGAAGACAGUUUUCCCUCCUAGCCUCGGCUCCUACUGUAGCAGUGAGAUGAACCUGCAUCUAAGGGGGCUUGCUCAGGGUCUCUCUACUGGCUGUUCUGGUAAGAUCAGGGAAUGAGCAAUGUGGUCGACUGCCAGUGACUAAGUCAGCGGGGCAGACUAUCCAGCCAAGCAGUUACCAAGUUGUCUGAAGGUUAAUGCCAACAACGAGAUCAAUACAUUAGCAAAGGCAACCACACUUCCUGCCAGAGGAAAGCAAGUGUUUCUAGAAAGUGGCCCAGAUCUGGACUCAGAAGAUGCACUGUGAGGACAUCCAAACCGCUCGGUCUCAGUCCUGGAUGAGAGGAGGUGCCAGCUGAGACCAGGGUCUGCUCAGGCGCAUUUGCUCACCACCUAUGGGAUGCCAAGUGCCUCCAUGGACUCUCAGAGAAGACUGGGUGUGUUCAGGACGCUAUGGCCAUG